rnacentral:rRNA from 1 species
UACGUAGGGCGCAAGCGUUGUCCGGAAUUAUUGGGCGUAAAGAGCUCGUAGGCGGUUUGUCGCGUCUGCUGUGAAAACUCGAGGCUCAACCUCGGGCUUGCAGUGGGUACGGGCAGACUAGAGUGCGGGUAGGGGUGACUGGAAUUCCUGGUGUAGCGGUGAAAUGCGCAGAUAUCAGGAGGGAAUACCGGUGGGCGAAGGCGGCAUCCCUGGACC